GGAUAUGGCACUUUUGAAUUCACUUUACUGAAAAAUAAAUAACAUCUGAUCUCGGAAGCUAAGCAAGGUCGGGCCUGGUUAGUACUUGGAUGGGAGACCACCUAGGGAAGACCAGGUGCUGUAGGCA
ensembl:rRNA 5S_rRNA 5S ribosomal RNA